UGAGAGAGAAAAGAGUAAGGGAC
rnacentral:snRNA from 1 species